rnacentral:rRNA from 1 species
AGCGAACGCUGGCGGCAGGCCUAACACAUGCAAGUCGAACGGAUCCUUCGGGAUUAGUGGCGGACGGGUGAGUAACACGUGGGAACGUGCCCUUUGGUUCGGAACAACUCAGGGAAGCUUGAGCUAAUACAGGAUGUGCCCUUCGGGGGAAAGAUUUAUCGCCAUUGGAGCGGCCCGCGUCUGAUUAGCUAGUUGGUGAGGUAAAGGCUCACCAAGGCGACGAUCAGUAGCUGGUCUGAGAGGAUGAUCAGCCACAUUGGGACUGAGACACGGCCCAAACUCCUACGGGGGGCAGCAGUGGGGAAUCUUGCGCAAUGGGCGAAAGCCUGACGCAGCCAUGCCGCGUGAAUGAUGAAGGUCUUAGGAUUGUAAAAUUCUUUCACCGGGGACGAUAAUGACGGUACCCGGAGAAGAAGCCCCGGCUAACUUCGUGCCAGCAGCCGCGGUAACAC